UAUAUACCUUGUUAGAAUUUGUAUGAUUUCAUUGUUGUUAUUAUUAUUAAACAGUAGUUGUUAAAGUUCAUUGUUCAUUGGUUUGGGAUGAAUUGUUAAACUCAUCCCAAACCAUCUCAAGGUGUGUUUUGGGUCACUGUCCUGUUGAAAAACAAAUGAUAGUCCCACGAAGCACAAACCAGAUGGGAUGGCGUAUCGCUGCAGAAUGCUGUGGUAGCCAUGCUGUUUAAGUGUGCCUUGAAUUCUAAAUACCAGCAAAGUAACCCCACACCAUCACAUCUCCUCCUCCAUGCUUCACGGCGGGAACCGCACAUGCAGAGAUUCACGUUCACCUACUCUGCGUCUCACAACGACACGGAGGUUGGAAACAAAAAUCUCAAAUUUGGACUCAUCAGACCAAAGGACAUAUUUCCACCUGUCUAAUGUCCGUUGCUCAUGUUUCUUGGCCCAAGCAAGUCUCUUCUUAUUAUUGGUGUCAUUUAGUAGUCGUUUCUUUGCAGCAAUUCGACUAUGAAGUCCUGAUUCACACAGUCUCCUCUGAACAGUUGAUGUUGAGAUGUGUCUGUUACUUGAACCCUGGUAACCCUAUUGAACUUAUCCUCUGUAGCAGAGGUAACUCUAAUGAACUUAUCCUCUGUAGCAGAGGUAACUCUAAUGAACUUAUCCUCUGUAGCAGAGGUAACUCUAAUGAACUUAUCCUCUGUAGCAGAGGUAACUCUAUUGAACUUAUCCUCUGGAGCAGAGGUAACUCUAAUGAACUUAUCCUCUGUAGCAGAGGUAACUCUAUUGAACUUAUCCUCUGUAGCAGAGGUAACUCUAAUGAACUUAUCCUCUGUAGCAGAGGUAACUCUAAUGAACUUAUCCUCUGUAGCAGAGGUAACUCUAAUGAACUUAUCCUCUGUAGCAGAGGUAACUCUAUUGAACUUAUCCUCUGUAGCAGAGGUAACUCUAUUGAACUUGUCCUCUGUAGCAGAGGUAACUCUAUUGAACUUAUCCUCUGUAGCAGAGGUAACUCUAAUGAACUUAUCCUCUGUAGCAGAGGUAACUCUAUUGAACUUAUCCUCUGUAGCAGAGGUAACUCUAUUGAACUUGUCCUCUGUAGCAGAGGUAACUCUAUUGAACUUAUCCUCUGUAGCAGAGGUAACUCUAAUUGAACUUAUCCUCUGUAGCAGAGGUAACUCUAUUGAACUUGUCCUCUGGAGCAGAGGUAACUCUAUUGAACUUAUCCUCUGUAGCAGAGGUAACUCUAAUGAACUUAUCCUCUGUAGCAGAGGUAACUCUAAUGAACUUAUCCUCUGUAGCAGAGGUAACUCUAUUGAACUUAUCGUCUGUAGCAGAGGUAACUCUAAUGAACUUAUCCUCUGUAGCAGAGGUAACUCUAAUGAACUUAUCCUCUGUAGCAGAGGUAACUCUAAUGAACUUAUCCUCU